UGUCUGGAAAGAGCCAGCCAGCCAGCAUCCUGGCGGCAGUGGCGGACUGAGUCCCCUGCAUCUGCCCUUGAGCGGACUCUCCUCCUCCAUACGCAGUUUCCAAUUUUCAGCUCUUGGGGAGCUGUGUGUCUGUGUUUCUUCAGGCCAGGCUCCUCAGAGCUUGUGCAGGGAGGGUGAGAGAACAAGAAAAAGAGGGAGAGAAACAGAAAUACCUGCAGCACUGCUCCACCCUUAGUGAAGCUUCCCUCCCCUGCAGCCAUGAGGAAAAGCACUGUUACAAAGGACUCCGCUGUUCCUGACUGCCUCAGUGGACAGAAAUCCAAGGACUGGCAAGUCCUUCAAGAAGUCAGGUCUUCAAUUCAUGCUGCGGUGGUGCCUUCAGGGUCUGAGGAGGGCCUGCCCUGACUGUGCAUCACCUCCACAAAGCUGACUUCCAGAACUGCUGCUUGCAAGCAAGAGGGAAAAAAAAAUGACAUUAUGUUUUCCUAAAGGUAUAUGCAUUAUCACAGGGAUCGUAAAGUACAAAAGAGUUCACCCUAAGACCAGAACCAGCUGUCUUUAAAUAAUUGGAGUCUACUAUUAUUAAGCUAAGAGAUGCCAGACGAGAGUACAAGAUUACCCUGACUCUUAA